GUUGGAGCUUGUUGGUUGUGCAGUGAAGAAGAUGGGGUCAGUACUGUGAGGAGCUGCUCAUGAGGGAUCACCAAGAAGCAGAUGGAAACACGGCAAAUCAUGCCCCAACACCCAUGUGAACAAAACAGACUUGGCUGUGCUCGGUUUUCCCAGGAGCUGACUGAGAGCCCAGAGCCAGGAGAAGGGGUCAGCACAUGUGUCCAGCAGCACAAGGGCAGAGAGAGGCACUGCCAUGUGUUCACUCAAACAGGGAGGAAUCAGGCUUAACCUCACAAGAGUUCCUUCCUCUAUACACUGCCUGAGGAGCCCCAGAAAUUACAAAACCACCUGGCUCCAAGCCUGCUCCAAAAUCCUUUGUAAUUUAACCCAAAAGAUCAUUGCUCUGCCGAGGUCACCUCACUCUCAUUGAGAUUUGCAGAGGUACAGCCAGCUCAGAGAUGUGCAGAAGAGCACCAAGGUCCAUCACAAACAAACCUGUCUUACCAUAAAAGAGAAUUUUUCAAGAGUCCUUCUGAAGGGCUCUCCAAGGAUGAUGAUGUUUCUGGAGGACAGAUGACUGAGGAUGAUGUGACCAUUUCUGCUCUGCUCAGCAGAGUCAUUUGCCUGCUUUCCUUUGUAGGUACUGACCUGUUCUCCUUCCUUUUGUCUAAGAUUCAAUGUGGAACUGUGAAAAAUCAGCCAGGGAAAGAAAGUGGCUGUGGUCUGUUGUUAUUUAAAGCAGGAGUGUUUUGUAAUGACAGGCAAUUAAAGGGAUGGUGCUGACACAUCCCUGGUAAUGUCACUGCACAUAAUGGAGGCAGAGCUCUGGGAGACUUGGGAUGGCUUCUGAUCUGCCAGCAGGCAAUGCAGGCACAAAUUAACUGUGUCUCAUCUGAUCAGGGGCUCUUCCAGGACUUUACAUCUGGCUUAUGGAGAGCUCUUGAACACUUUACAGCUGUCAUCAUGUCAUGAUGUGUGUUUGAUUCUGAUUUCUGCAGCAAGAUGCAGGUUGUAUGUAUGAAAUUAACUACUACCUUUUUCAAAGUCAAAUAACCUUUUAUCCCAUCUAAGAACACUUACAGAAUGUGAUACACUCUCCUGCUUUUCUGUUCCUCUGUGACCAUCAGCAAAAGGAAAAGGCUGUUUAGUUCUUCCUUUGGUACAUUUGUCAUGAUCUUCUCCCCAGAUCUGCUCAAAAAGGUUUCUGCUUUUUACCCUUCCAUCCAUUCAGUUCAUAAUUCCGUUCAUUUGGCAUUAAUGUGCUAAAUAGAAUAAAUAAUUUGCCGAAUAGAAUAAAUUUGCCAUUAGAAUUUU